UGAGUAGCACGUAUCCAACCUGCCGUCUACUCUUGGCCAGCCUUCUGAAAGGAAGAUUAAUCCAGGAUGGCAUCAUGAGUUCACAUGUCCGCAUGAUUAAAGGUAUUUUCCGGUAGACGAUGGGGAUGCGUUCCAUUAGAUAGUAGGCGGGGUAACGGCCCACCUAGUCAACGAUGGAUAGGGGUUCUGAGAGGAAGGUCCCCCACAUUGGAACUGAGACACGGUCCAA
rnacentral:rRNA from 1 species